rnacentral:rRNA from 1 species
UACAGAGGUCCCGAGCGUUGUUCGGAUUCAUUGGGCGUAAAGGGUGCGUAGGCGGCGGGGCAAGUCUGAUGUGAAAUCCCGGGGCUCAACCCCGGAACUGCAUUGGAUACUGCUUUGCUAGAGUACUGGAGAGGGAACUGGAAUUUACGGUGUAGCAGUGAAAUGCGUAGAUAUCGUAAGGAAGACCGGUGGCGAAGGCUAGUCUCUGGACAGUUACUGACACUGAGGCACGAAGGCCAGGGGAGCAAACGGG